rnacentral:rRNA from 1 species
CACCGCGGUUAAACGAGAGGCCCCAGUUGAUAGUAUCACGGCGUAAGGGUGGUUAAGGAGAGCAAGUAAAUAAAGCCGAAUGGCCCAUUGGCCGUCAUACGCUCCUAGGUGCCCGAAGCCCAACUAACGAAAGUAGCUUUAGUAAAAUUCACCUGACCCCACGAAAGCUGAGAAACAAACUGGGAUUAGAUACCCCACUAUGCUCAGCCAUAAACCCAGAUCUCCAACUACAGCAAGACAUCCGCCAGGGUACUACGAGCAUUAGCUUAAAACCCAAAGGACCUGACGGUGCCUUAGACCCCCCUAGAGGAGCCUGUUCUAGAACCGAUAACCCCCGUUAAACCUCACCACUUCUGGCCACCCCAGCCUAUAUACCGCCGUCGCCAGCUUACCCUGUGAAGGUAAUAAAAGUAAGCAAAAUGGGUACAACCCAAAACGUCAGGUCGAGGUGUAGCGUACGAGGUGGGAAGAAAUGGGCUACAUUUUCUACUAUUCAGAACACUACGAAUAUGCAACAUGAAAUAGUGCUUGAAGGAGGAUUUAGUAGUAAAAAGGAAGCAGAGUGUCCUUUUGAACCCGGCUCUAAGGCGCGUACACACCGCCCGUCACUCUCCCCUGUCAACACGCAAUAACGAUCAGUAACACCAGAGCACUGACAAGGGGAGGCAAGUCGUAACAUGGUAAGUGUACCGGAAGGUGCACUUGGAUUAAAUUCGGGGCGUGGCUGAG